ACAAAGGGCGAUCAGUGAUGCUGCAUUUGGCAUAGAUAAAGGAUAGCCUAAUAAGGGUCAAUCCCAAUAUAGAUCAGCCUCACUCCAAAAACCCGUCCUCAGUUCGGAUUGUAGGCUGCAACUCGCCUACAUGAAGCCGGAAUCGCUAGUAAUCGCCGGUCAGCCAUAUGGCGGUGAAUUUGUUCCCGGGCCUUGUA
rnacentral:rRNA from 1 species